GACGAACGCUGGCGGCGUGCUUAACACAUGCAAGUCGAACGCUGAAGACCUGGCUUUUGUUGGGUUGGAUGAGUGGCGAACGGGUGAGUAACACGUGAGUAACCUGCCCUCUUCUUUGGGAUAACGCCCGGAAACGGGUGCUAAUACUGGAUAUUCACUGGCCUUCGCAUGGGGGUUGGUGGAAAGGUUUGUUCUGGUGGGGGAUGGGCUCGCGGCCUAUCAGCUUGUUGGUGGGGUGAUGGCCUACCAAGGCUUUGACGGGUAGCCGGCCUGAGAGGGUGACCGGUCACAUUGGGACUGAGAUACGGCCCAGACUCCUACGGGAGGCAGCAGUGGGGAAUAUUGCACAAUGGGCGAAAGCCUGAUGCAGCGACGCCGCGUGAGGGAUGGAGGCCUUCGGGUUGUAAACCUCUUUCGCUCAUGGUCAAGCCGCAACUGUGGGUUGUGGUGAGGGUAGUGGGUAAAGAAGCGCCGGCUAACUACGUGCCAGCAGCCGCGGUAAUACGUAGGGCGCGAGCGUUGUCCGGAAUUAUUGGGCGUAAAGGGCUUGUAGGCGGUUGGUCGCGUCUGCCGUGAAAUCCUCUGGCUUAACUGGGGGCGUGCGGUGGGUACGGGCUGACUUGAGUGCGGUAGGGGAGACUGGAACUCCUGGUGUAGCGGUGGAAUGCGCAGAUAUCAGGAAGAACACCGGUGGCGAAGGCGGGUCUCUGGGCCGUUACUGACGCUGAGGAGCGAAAGCGUGGGGAGCGAACAGG
rnacentral:rRNA from 1 species